rnacentral:lncRNA from 1 species
GAGCCCGUGUGUAGCUGGCUACAAAUUAGUAGCACACUUCUCUUCUCUCUCCUCUCUUAUCUCAUUAAAAUAUAUUUAUAGCUGACUUAUCUAUUAUACCUGCUCUUACUGCUCUUACUUUGCUGACUCAUCUCCUAGUGAAUACUAGUAUUAUUAUAUUGGUCGCAGCGUUGUUGUUUUCUUCUCUUUUGGCAUGCAUGCAACCAGAGACAUCCUUAAUGACCUGGCACCGGCGGCCUGAUUAGGACACGUGCGAACAUGGUUAACUCACCGGUGCACACUCUGUCCGGUGGGCCCAGCCACCGCAACUGAUGAAAAAGCUAAAGCGGUAAACUAAAAACCACGCCGAGCUGGACCGUCCAACCAAAG